UAAGACAGAGGUGGCAAGCGUUGUUCGGAUUUACUGGGCUUAAAGGGCGUGUAGGCGUCUUGAUAAGUCAGAUGUGGAAGCCUUAGGCUUAACCUAAGAAUUGCAUUUGAAACUAUCAGGAUUGAGUCAGGCAUGGGAGGGCGGAAUUCCUGGUGGAGCGGUGAAAUGCGUAGAUAUCAGGAGGAAGGCCGGUGGCGAAGGCGGCCCUCUAGGCCAUGACUGACGCUGAGGCGCGAAAGCGUGGGGAGCAAACAGGAUUAGAUACCCUGGUAGUCCACGCCUUAAACGGUGGGUAUUAGGUGUGGGUGGCGAUAGUCAUCUGUGCCGAAGGGAAACCAUUAAAUACCCCGCCUGGGGAGUACGGCCGCAAGGUUAAAACUUAAAUGAAUUGACGG
rnacentral:rRNA from 1 species